rnacentral:rRNA from 1 species
GGUUGACCUCGGAUCGGGUAGGGAUACCCG